AAGACUAUACUUUUAGUGAUCAUUUCUAUACUUCGUUACUAAAGAAGUCUCUCUGAAUGUGUAGAGCACCGGAAACCAUGAGGAGGAGGCGCAGCAUUCUCCCUUGAGUGUGAAGCUGGCUCUUGCUGUUGCUUUACUGCAGUUGCGACUUGCCAUUGAUGAUGGUUCUUCUCUCCCUUCAUGGGAGUAAGAGGGAGAGAACACAGUAAAAAAAAAGGU
rfam:Otolemur garnettii contig152955, whole genome shotgun sequence.